GACAGAGGGUGCAAGCGUUGUUCGGAAUUAUUGGGCGUAAAGCGCACGUAGGCGGUUGUCUAAGUCACAUGUGAAAGCCCAGGGCUCAACCCUGGAAGGGCAUGUGAUACUGGACGACUAGAGUCCCGGAGAGGGUGGUGGAAUUCCUGGUGUAGAGGUGAAAUUCGUAGAUAUCAGGAGGAACACCGGUGGCGAAGGCGACCACCUGGACGGGUACUGACGCUGAGGUGCGAAAGCACGGGGAGCAAACAGG
rnacentral:rRNA from 1 species